UUUUUUUAUUUAUAAAUAAAAUCAGUCUAAUCAUAGUCAAAAAUAAACUGCCACUAAAUGAUCUGUUUAUCUGAAGUCAUGUCAAUAAGAUCUUAUAUUCUCUAUUAAUAAAUAAAAUACAUAUUCCGUAUGUAUAAAAGAGUUGACAGUUUCACAAAUUCAGUAUUGUUCUCUUUUGCUCUUUUCUGUCGAUGCUUUAGUUCUCGUUUUCUUCCAUUCUAGCGCCAUCUGAAGACAUACUACAGACUACAGCGUAUGAAAGACCUGCUUUCACACCAGCAUGCUACACUACUGAGGGAAAAAGUUCAAAGACAAAGACAAGAGAUGAAGCACCAUGAUUCCAAACUUAGAGAAGGACACAAAGAACAGAAGCUUGUGACCAUUCAGAGGGCCACCAGAUCAACCCUCACACACGAUGAUGCAUACUUGAAGUGUCUUCCUAAAACACGCUUCUACCUGGUUCUGGAACUGCAGAAACAGCUGGCACGACUAGGGUAUCUUCAGAGCCGCAGGGAACAGGAGGUGUUCAGGGUCUGGACAGAACAGCACCGAAGCACAUGUCAACUUGAGAAGCAACUACAAGCAAUGGAACACAGCAGUAAUCCCAGCUCAGAUGUUACUCUUGAGAACAUGCUGAAACAGAAGUCUGGGUCUCUACCGAAGCUUCAGAUCACACCUGAUGACUCCAGAGUACAACACAAACAUAUGUCAGUCUCACCAAGAGGGAAUGAAGGAGAGGUGAACACUUUCCAACAACAGGGCAAACAGAGCUGUGGACGGGAAGAAACUGAGCUCAUGUUUCCUGAGGUAAGUGUAAAACCACAGAGGCUCUGA
rnacentral:lncRNA from 1 species